rnacentral:rRNA from 1 species
UGUUGGUGAGGUAACGGCUCACCAAGGCUACGAUGGAUAGGGGAACUGAGAGGUUUAUCCCCCACACUGGAACUGAGACACGGUCCAGACUCCUACGGGAGGCAGCAGUGAGGAAUAUUGGUCAAUGGAGGCAACUCUGAACCAGCCAAGUCGCGUGAAGGAUGACGGUCUUAUGGAUUGUAAACUUCUUUUGUACAGGAAUAAAGUUAGCCACGUGUGGUUUUUUGCAUGUACUGUACGAAUAAGGAUCGGCUAACUCCGUGCCAGCAGCCGCGGUAAUACGGAGGAUCCGAGCGUUAUCCGGAUUUAUUGGGUUUAAAGGGUGCGCAGGCGGGAUGUUAAGUCGGCGGUGAAAUUUUGCGGCUCAACCGUAAAAGUGCCUUCGAAACUGGCAUUCUUGAGUAUGAAUGAAGUAGGCGGAAUUUGUGGUGUAGCGGUGAAAUGCUUAGAUAUCACGAGGAACUCCGAUUGCGCAGGCAGCUUACUAAACCAUAACUGACGCUCAUGCACGAAGGCGUGGGGAUCAAACAGGAUUAGAUACCCUGGUAGUCCACGCAGUAAACGAUGAUUACUAGUUGUUUGCGAUACACAGUA